UGUCCAGUUUAUCCACAUUAGAGUGUGAGUCAUGUUAGCUCGGGAAACAUACCCGCGUCUCCUUUCCUCGUAGUAUUGAGAGUCGUGCAGAGUCUGUUUUUUCUUUAGUUCAUUCGGAUAAAUGGGGUCCUAGUAGAGUAUGUUCAACCUUAGGAUUUCGUUAUUUUGUUAGUUUCAUUGUUGAUCAUUCAAGAUGUACUUGGAUUUUCUUAAUGAAAGAUCGUUCUAAGUUGUUUUCUAUAUUCCGAAAUUUUUGUGCUGAAAUUAAAAAUCAAUUUGGUGUUUCUAUUUGCACUCUUCGAAGUGAUAAUGCCUUAGAAUAUUUAUCCUCUCAAUUUCAGCAGUUUAUGUUUUCUCAUGGAAUUAUUCAUCAGACCUCUUGUACUUAUACCCCUCAGCAAAAUGGGGUUGCAGAAAGAAAGAAUAGGCACAUUAUUGAGACUGUUCGCACACUUCUCAUUGAAUCUCAUGUUCCGAUGCGUUUUUGGGGCGAUGCAGUUCUCACAUCUUGUUAUUUGGUUAAUCGGAUGCCUUCAUCUCCCAUCCAGAAUCAGAUUCCGUAUGAGGUANNNNNNNNNNNNNNNNNNNNNNNNNNNNNNNNNNNNNNNNNNNNNNNNNNNNNNNNNNNNNNNNNNNNNNNNNNNNNNNNNNNNNNNNNNNNNNNNNNNNNNNNNNNNNNNNNNNNNNNNNNNNNNNNNNNNNNNNNNNNNNNNNNNNNNNNNNNNNNNNNNNNNNNNNNNNNNNNNNNNNNNNNNNNNNNNNNNNNNNNNNNNNNNNNNNNNNNNNNNNNNNNNNNNNNNNNNNNNNNNNNNNNNNNNNNNNNNNNNNNNNNNNNNNNNNNNNNNNNNNNNNNNNNNNNNNNNNNNNNNNNNNNNNNNNNNNNNNNNNNNNNNNNNNNNNNNNNNNNNNNNNNNNNNNNNNNNNNNNNNNNNNNNNNNNNNNNNNNNNNNNNNNNNNNNNNNNNNNNNNNNNNNNNNNNNNNNNNNNNNNNNNNNNNNNNNNNNNNNNNNNNNNNNNNNNNNNNNNNNNNNNNNCAUUCUGACCAUCUUGAUAUAUCUAAGGUUUUACCUAUACCGGUCUUUAGGGAGUCUACUAUAUCUCCUCCUUCACCUUCCGCUACAGAAUUCUUACCCAUUCCAACCGUUGGAGAGUCUAGUGUGGCUCCUCCUAGACUCUCUGCGACAGACACUCCACUCUUGACAUUCAUCGUCGUCCUCGCCCAACACCCCCCCUUUCGUAAUUUCUAAAAGUCUUCCAUUCUUUCUUAAACACCAUACCCAAUCAAAUAUGUUCAUUCAUUUUGAAAAGAAGGGAGUAUGUAACACCUUCAAAUCCUUUGCCCCAUCCCAUAGCGAGUGACUGAUUGGAGAUAUGACCACCUUCCCACUGACUAGAUGUAACAUUUUUUUGAAAUGUAACUAGAUGGAACUUUUUGUCCUUGUUAGUAUUCCACAUGAAACUCCUUUACGUCCUCUUUAUUUUCUCCAUGACUUCUGCAGGAGUAUGCUUGAGAGACAUAGAGUAUGUUGGGAUGCUUGUUAAGAUGCUCGUAGUCAGUACCUUUUCCCUCUCGUUUGGCAAGUAGCUUGUUUGUCACCCAUUAGUCUUUUUUCGACCCUCUCAUUUACUGGAUUCCAUACUGCUAGGUUCUUGUUUGACGCUCCAAGCGGUAGGACAAGAUAGCUAGUUAGUAAUGCUCCAAUGUUGCCUAUUCCUAACGCAGGGAUGAUCUUGCAAUGUCCUGUUGAUCUUAAAGUUUGAUACUGUUUGAAACCUUAUCAAUACUUGUCUCUUUGUCCUAUGUUUCUUUGUACUUUCUGCCCUCCUCUUUGGUUGGGAAUCCCCUUAAGUAUCAUCCUUCUAUAGUUGUGUCCAUCAUCUUACUCAAUCCCUUCAUGACUAAUAUAAACAACAUAGAGGAAAGCAGGUUCCCCGUUGUAGGCUGCUGGAGUUUGGAAGAAACCAUUUGUUGCUGUUAACCAGCACGGGAAAUCUAACUUAUCCACUUUCUCUAGUUUCCCCAAAUCCUAUUAUUUGUAUCACAUGGUCCAAGAAGUCUCAAUUCAUGUGACUUUGCUAGAUCUAGCAUAAGAUGCCUUCUGGCUCUUUUUCCUACUGGAGUCUACCGAUUCAUUUUCCAUGAGCACAACAUCCAAAAUUUAUUUUUCUCGUGUAGCACCUUCUUUAGUUAAUUGACAAGCACCUUUUUAACUAUGUUAUGGAACUUCGUACUAGACUAACAACAUUAUACUCUCUGAUUCCUCAUUCAUCGGUAUGAUGGCUAAGAAAGAGGCAUUGAGGCUCCUUUCGAACUUUUCGGAUGCUCCUGGAAUUGCGUUGGUCGUCUCCAUCUCCUCUCCUUUACUGUGUUCCAGCAUUGUUGAACGAAAGCUGUGGUUAGUCUAUCCAUUAGCGACCCUUAUGACUCCCCAAAGCCAAGGAUAUUUCCCCUGCCCACUCUGCUUCUUCCUCUUACUCUCUGAAUUUCUACCGCAUAAGUACCCUAUCCUUAUCCUUGAUGCUCCCUUUUACCCCUUUUGUUCGCCAACAUUAAGUACCCUACCCUUACUUUUAGCAUACCCUUACUUUUGGCACAGUAUUGGUCCCCAUCCCCCUUUUGUUUGCCAGCACUAAGUCCUAAUAGUCCAGCCACCUGCUUCCCCUGCUUCAAAUCCCCUCCUUCACCAACACCCAUUGUCCCUGCUCACUCCCUUUCUUCCUCCUUGCUUUCAAUGUUUGAGCAGGUUGAGCAAAGGAGUCCUUGCCGUUGCCGGAUUCAGCCUUCUGACCAUCCUUCCAAACUGGAGUCAUGAGGAUUUCCCCUUGAUUCUGCAAAUGGGAUCUCCUCCCUUUGGCCGUGUCCUGCUGGUCAUGUUUUACUGCUGAAUCACUGCUCUGUGGAAACCAAAAACUACAAAAAUUUCUCCAGGUUUCUGAGAACUUUUGGAGCAUUUUUAGAAUAUCAGGGAAACCAAAAACUACAAAAAGUUCUCCAGGUUUCUGAGAAUUUGACCUUCUUUCAGCUGCAUUUUACUUCUAUCAUUAAUUUCUGAAACACAAUCUCAGUAUCCUUGCUGCUGCUGUUAAACUUCUUGUGCGUUCCUUGAAGGCAAAUGCAAUAUACUGUGCAAUGAUCUCAUGAAGCCAUAUUUCAUUACUAUUUGUUGACUUUUAUAUGCGGAAAAUCCUAGUCUCCUCUAUAUGAAGCAGAGAGUUUAAUAUAUACCAAGAAGCUGCAUUGAGAAGUGUUGAUUGAUUGUCCCAUCUUGGUAGUUACUCAGAGAAGUUCAGGAUUUUUACCAGCUGAUCACUCCAUUUUCUUGUCUUUUGGACAUAACUGUAUCUAAUACGAGUGAAGGAUACACGUGGAUGACUUCCUGUUUAUGUCAAAUCACCAAUUGCGUGCUAUCUUUCCUGAAUCUAGCCACAGAACUUCUAUAAACACAAUUCAUCAAGCUGUCAGAGGAUAGCACCUUAAUUCUUCACACUAAAAAGAAAUGUUAAUGAGAGGAGUCUGCUUAUUGGUUGAACCUCUUGGCAGUUCUUCUACCUAUUGGCUAGACCAAAGAAUUCUGUGAUUGAGUUAUCUCUGGACACUUCCAAAAUGAUACAUACUUCCAUGCUAUAGACUAAACAAAUGCGGAACAAAAAUUAGCUCUAAAUGCGCUGGCUUAGAAGCUCUAAUUAUAACCACCAAACUUUUAAAACACAGUCACUUUAAUUGCAUGGUUUGCAGUAGAAGCCCGGUUAACCUUGGCACCAGUACGUACGAAAUCAACCCCAGGCUAAGGAAUUCUCAGCUUUAAAAGGAAACUCUGUGGUGCUUGUGAUCUUUUAGACUUGUGUUUAUGGCAAAAGAGAGCCGUACAAUUUCGGGCAGUUUUUCUUUAUAUAUAAUUUUGAAUGUGAGGAGACGUCUUAUUUUACUUAUAUGGCCCUUGCUAGCUUAUGCUAUUUUGCCUGAUGAAGCUAGUCGGAGAUUAAGACCAAUUUAGACCAAUUGCUGAGGCACUUCUGUUCUAUGUUUGUAUGUCUGUUAGAAUGGAUGUAUUAUGUAGUGCUCAUUCUUAUACUGCAGAAGAGGCUGCUAUGGUCUUACAUCAAGCUGGAGCGGCAUCAAUCAUCAGGUCGACCCCCGAGUCUCCUGAGGAUGCUGAACUCGGGACAUACAAGUCAAAUUUGUUGAGUAGAUUCCAAGAUUUAUCAAAUGAUAUAAGGUCUUGAGAUUCCUAUCAUUCUCUUAAAACUUGGCAAUAACAUCUUACAUAGAUGUUUUAUUAGAUCUUUUACCUUUAAGAAAUUUUUUUCCUGAACAAAAUUAAGAGAAUCCUUUCAUGGUUGUUACAUGCAAUUUGUGUUACAUGUCCUCUUCUAGAGAGCCAUGGCUAUGCCUCCACACCUUCUGAAGUAAAAGGUCCCUUGUUUAAUGGGAUCUUAAGCAUGCUUGUGGAAGAAUUCUGCUAUAAUGUUGUAAACUCGUCAAGGGGCAUUAGGAUAGAAAAAAAAAUCCGGAUGCCAUGCAAAGUUUCCAUGGCACACAAGAUCCUGUUUUGCCAGUGACUGUUCAUGGUUCUAUGACAUGCAAAGAACGGACAAGCACAGAAUCCAGCCCCUAAUUGGCCUGAAUUAAGCUCAGCCAUCUUCACAAUCAAAGUUAGAAGAUGCACUUGGCAAGGCUACACGGUUUUCCUUUCUCUUCAACGUCAUUGUGCACAUGAUAAAUUUAGCAAAAUUUGUGUGAUCUUUAACUUAGCUAAAUUUAAAUGGCCGGAAUUCUGUACCACUGAGCAUGAAACAAAUGAGGGCCAUUAGAUUUGAUUUCAGAUGUCUGGACAAGUAUCAACAGGACAUAUAUGCUUUGGAUUCUUUGUUCGACGGUCCAGCAAUGCAAAUGAGUAUUUGUCUAUAACCAUGUUAUCUGGUGCUCAGAUCAAUUUGUUCCUUCAGUAGAUUUGGCUACAUGUCGUAGGAAGUGGGGAACAUACAUACAUGCAUAUUCCUAGUGUCUUGUGAUUCAUAUUCAUUUCAAGAACCGGGACCUUAUAAUGACCCAAAUAUUCCUGGAAGGGGUGAUCAAUCCUGUGUAUGAAGUUACACACACGCAUGCACGCACACACGCAUUUGUACAUGGGAGGAAGAAAUGGUCCUCACACUACAGCCUGUGUCAACCAAGAUUUGGUAGGAAACUCCAAUGGUUCCUGUGAUACCAAUAGAUAAUUUAUCAUACGAUCUCAAAAUAGUAUUCUGUUAGAAGAGUAGAAAAAACCUAUAGCUGUAUAGAGUUUUGUGGCUUAUAUGCUAUGCUAAGAUUAUAAGAUUAAGAGAUUUUGCUGGGGAGAAUAUACCUGCACGUCCACGUAUUAAGAGGCUAUACGCAAGAGGGACAUUUUUCAAGUAUGUAUUAUACUAGAAGGCAGAGACUAGAGGAAGCAUUUUCUGGAAGAAAAAUAAAAAUUGCAUUCAACUAAUUUUCAAUGUUAAGGAAAGGUUGUUAAUAAUUUAGCUCGUUAGUUCAAAGAGACUCCUUUGUCAUGUGGUGUAUAUAGAAAUAGGACCCCCACCAUUCCUGUACAUUCUCUCUUUAUCACUCAACUUUUGCAAUUUAAAUACAGAUUUGCGUUGUUUUUGUCACAUUUGCAUGUGAAUGUACUUUCCCGAAGUGAUACUCUCCACAACUCACGUGAGGUCUUUGCCUGAGAAUCCUACAAUUUCUAUUCUCAGGGAUAAGUUUCCCUAAUUUGUAGUAAAUUACGUUUUGUUCGUCAGAUUAUAUGUUCUCUUUCUUCGUUUUUCAGUUUUUGUGAAAUAUUAAAUAAAAAGAAAAAGAUCAGUUCUUGGCAUUGUUUCAUAUCCAUUAGACUGAUAGGAUCCAAUAACUAUUUUUCCAUUUCAUAUAUAAAUCUGUUUUAAGAGGCAUCAUUUCAAAGUCCGCAUCCUCUAAAUCUUGUUCGUUCUUGUCCUAAACAUUAGCUGACUAUUGCUAUGUGCUACAUAUUGUGGCAAUUGCGAUGUCAAUAGCGAAAGCGUUACCAUACCAAGAGUUGCAUCUUUGAGAUAAAUCAACAAGCAGUGCAUAAGACAGGAUGAUAUACGAUUUUUACAUAUUGGUUAGUGCGGAGAGGAGUAGAUAACGUCACUUUCAUAUACAUUUCAACCUUUUAUUAGUGAUUAAAAUAAUUUCUUUCGAGAUUUCAAAUACGGAUAAACCUUUUCUCCUUAUAUUACACUUUGAUUUUGCACUAGCAAUAUUAGCCUAUUGUCACAAUUUGUUUCGUAAGUAGAUUUGGGUUUAAGACUGAUAUAUGUCUUGCUACUCUCUCGUCCAAAUUUAUGUGGCAGUAUUCGAAUUUCGAGAGUCAAACUAAUUAUUUUUUUACAUGCCUUUUAAAUAUUUUGAAUAUUAAUUAUUGUAAUUUAUAGGACUUUUUACAUAGUUUUCAAAUAUAUUUUAUUUCAAUUUUUUUGCAAAAGAUUUUAUAUCAGAAUUCAUUGUUAAAGUUAACUCGUUUGACUCUCGAAAUUUGCAAAUCGCCAUUUUAUGAGACGAGUGGAAUAUUUGAUAUUAUUUUUGUAUGUACAUAUUUGUUUUUACAACAAUAAUGUUUACAUACAUAUAUAUGAAGAAGAUAUUUUGCGAAACGGUGUCAAAUAAUGACACCCGUGGCCGUAGUAAAGAGUGUCUCCGUCACUGCCAUGGUUCGUAUGACGCGUAGGGUAGCUAGUGGUGACGAUAUGACAAAAAUACUAGGAGGAAGGAUAAGAGAUAUACACUAUGUAUUAGUUUAGCUAUUAAUUAGCAAAAGGGUUAGAGAGGGAACAAAAUAAGCAGAGAAAUGAGGAAGAGACAAGGUUGAAGCAGGAGAAAUGUAUGGAGAGAAUUGUAUUGUAGUAAUGAUAAAAGGGGAACAUGUGAAGAGGUUGGGUACGUGCAUUUGUCCUUGAGGAAUGGAGACAAUCUUUGAAGCAACAACCUUAUGCCAACUUCCUUAUUAAUGAACUGUUCCUAUUUGCAAUACUGAUGACAUCUCGUGACACCAUUCUGUGGAGAUAUAUUGGAUACUAGCUACCUCACCUUACUCCUACUACUAUAUAUCUUCCCCCUCUCUCUAUACAUAUUAUCUUUUAUUAACUCUGAUAACAUCUCGUGACACCAUUCUGUGGAGAUUUAUUGGAUACUAGCUACCUCCCCCUACUCCUACUACAAUAUAUCUUCUAUUAAUUAAAUCCAAACGAAGUUCAUGGGCCGUUUUCCUAUUUUUUUAUUCCUGUUGUCUCGAUGUUUUCAGUUUAUUUUGAAUUUUUAGAUCUACUUAGCUCGAUUGUUUCACCUAUAUAUAGUUCGUGAACAAUUUGUUACCCUAUUGGCUCAACGAAUCAUGUUAUUAUGCACGGCAUUACGUUUUUUGGCUUUGCACAGGAGAUAAUGACAAGGCAUCCAAGGCUCAAUAAAUUAAAUGUUUUCUGUUAUGAGGAGAGAGGUAAUUUUGGUGCAUUCAUGGGAUCCUAAAUCAAGAAAAAUAGUAUGUUAAAGGUUAGAAAGUCACUAAGCUGUAUACAAAAGAAAGUGUUAAUAUGAAGUCACGUCAGGUCUAGAUAUAAUGAUCAAUUUUCUUGGUUCACCAUUUGAGAAAUGAUCAGAUUGAAAUGUGGUGGGGGAUAAUAUGACAUGGCAAAGAACUUAAAACAGAAUUAAAUGUGUAUAUAGUAUUCCAAUAUGAUCACGAGAUGUCAUGAUAAUGCUAAUUGUAGUGUGUACGGUAGAAAGGUAAAGAAGCAAAUAAAUCAUGCUUUAGGCAUAUUAUUCAAUAUAUAUUUCAAAUAAUGAUAAUAGUUGAGACAGAGAUAUUUAUUUGGUAAAAAAGGGGAAAAAUUAGUGAUUGAGGAAGAAAGGCACGUGUAGAAAGAGAGGAGAAGAGGAGGACUGAGGAGUGAAGACAAAGGUGACGGCUGGAGAAAAGGGGGAACUCCAAAUUCCCCGUGAAAACUAUUUGGAUUCAUCCAAAAUUCACAAAAAUAUAAACAUCUACCCUUUUUCUUUUCAUGCUUUCCCUUUAUUACUUUCUACUAUAUUUUAUAAACUAUAUAUGCAUGGUUUUUUCACCCUUUCAAUCCUUUUAUGUCUUUCACCAUUCAAAAUAUAUAUCCUAACCCCCACUCUACAUCUCACUGCUAGAUGGGCUUUCUAAAGUUUUACUUCCAUUUAGACAUUCAAUUAUUAUCAUUUCACUGUAUUUAAAUAUAUAUAUAAUUGACAAUAUAAUUUUUUUUUAAAAUUUAUAUUAUUUUGAACUGUGGUAAAAGAUCUCCUACAGUCUUUUAUGGGCAAUAUAUAUCCAUAUAUACUUAUUAUAAAUACUUAAGUCUAACUGAUUACAAAUGAGCUGAGAGUGUAUGUUUACAUUUUUAGUGUAUAAAGUUAAGCUGAUAAUAUACUUUCUUACUCUGAAUUUUGGUUUUUAAUCAGCAUAGUCUGAACUAGGAAUAUUAAUUAAUGACGUCACAAUGCAACAAAAAGAGGAAAAGGAAGAAGGGUUUCUAUGUUAUUGUUUAAAAAGCUAGAAUCAAAGGCUUCGUUUACUGGCAAAUGUAAUACGAAGCGGGAUGUACGAUGGUGAGUGGUUACGAGAAAUUAACAAUUGGAUCAUGUUAUAUUUAGAGAGAAAGUGAUAAAGGAACUGGACAAUUAUCCCCAGACUUUUGAAACUGAAUGUAAAUUGCUGAUUACUUACCCUCUCAAAGAUACUAACCAUCCAACUUUAGUAAUAGUAAUAAAUUACUUUUAACCAUCAUAAUAUUCGAUUUUAAACUUUCACCAUUUUAUCUUGGACAAGUCUUGGUAAUAGCCAUUAUCCACAAAUUACAUUAAUUACUCUAGAAAUUGCUUAAGUCUUUAAUUGUUUUGUCUUAAAAAGACAGUGAAUUAUUUUUGUUAUAGUAUAUGUUUCUUAUCCAAAGGGCAUCUUGGAUAAUAAUAUGACAAUUUGAAAUGUUUGUGUGAAUAAGAAACUGCACUACUCAUGAGAGGUGGGAAGCAAACAAAGAGCUGAUAUUGAUUUGAGAGAUCAUUUUCCCUCUCUUUAAAGAGAGCAGCCCUAAGGAAGAGAGAAUAGAGAAAAACAAAGAAAGAAAGAAAGAAAGAAGAGAAGAGAAUGGUAUCUAGGGAGCAGAAAAGAGCGGCAGUACUGCAUGAGAAGUUGCAACUUCUUCGUUCAAUCACUAAAUCUCAUGCUGUAAUUCUCUGCAUUUCUCAGCCUUCAUUUUCCUUUUUUCAAUGGAUUCUACUACUUCUCAACAACAUUUAUUUAUAUAAAGUGAAAAUCCACACUUCUUUUUUGCCUUUGAUAUUCUAGUGCCUUCUCCUUCUCCCCCCCCACUCCUUCCUUUCUCAUUUUCCUUAGAAAAAGAAAUACCCAUUAAUUUUCCCUUCAUAGUAUACCUUCAUUCUUCAACAUCAAUUUUUUUCAAUCUUUUCUUCUUAGGAAUCUUAUACAUCAGUAAAUUGUCCCAAGUUGCUUAAACCUAAUAAAUUAGGCCGUUGAAGGAUCGGAGAUAUUACCAUGCAUUUACUUAAUUGAUUCCCUGACUUCUUUAGAGUACGUCUUUCUUCAUUAUCUACUCCACUUAAAAGAGGUUAAAAAGGGCAAACAUUACAUGAUCUUUGUUCAUUCAUAGACAUUCUUUUCUAAUGCAUGACGAAUAUACAAGUACAAAAACGAACUUUGAGGUUUCCUUUGAUCCUAUCAAGUAAAUUUGCUUCUUUAUUGCAACUCCCAAGUGUGAGUUAAUUUGAUUUUUCGUGUUUUCAUGGAACGCAGAUAAAUGAAACAUCAAUCAUAGUAGAUGCAUCGAAGUAUAUUCAAGAACUGAAACACAAAGUGGAAAGGCUGAAUCAUGACAUUACUACUACUGCUGCUGCUCAAAGUUCCACCAACAAUACUUCUUCAUGGCCUGUAAUAUCUCCAUCAUAAUUCUUUACUUAGUAUAUACAUCUAAUUUUAUACUCAUUACCUAAUUUGACAUUUCCUUUGUUCAAAAGUGGCAUUUUCUUUCUCACUCUUUUUCCCUCUAUUUUUUUCCUGGAAUUUUUUUCCAGCAAGUGGAAGUGGAGACCCUAGAAAAAGGUUUCUUGGUAAAUGUAUAUUCAGAAAGAAGUUGCCCCGGAUUGCUUGUUUCUAUAUUAGAAGUUGUUGAGGAGCUUGGUCUUAACGUGCUCGAAGCUAGGGUUUCAUGCACCGACACCUUUCGAUUAGAAGCUUUUAGCGGAGAGGUAAUUUUCAUGUCUUCAUCAAUUUAAAAUGUUCAUAUAUAUAUAUAUAUAUAUAAACACUUUUUAAAAUUUAGUUCCGGCAUUAAUUAUUCCUUAUCCCACGUACCAAUAACGAGCCCUAAAGAAUUUCGUCCCGUUUAUUUUCGGGUGUAUCUUACCCACGGGUUUAAAAUAUCUCGCAGAUCGACUUGGGUUAUAAUUGUUAUUCUGGCUGUAUCAAGUGCAUCUUUUGGUAUAAUUGAUUAUUCCUUGCCUUGGGACCAAAUUGGUUAUUGGGCGUUAAAAGAAAAUAAAAGAAUGAGAAACGAGGAGGAGGACUAAAAUUUGUGGGACAAAUGGGAGAGAGGGCAAGAAGAAAGGAGAACGAUACAUGAUGAAAGUAUGGAAGGAGAGCGAUGGUAGCCCUUUUAUCAUUCACUUCCUUCUCAUUCAAACAUGACACACUGAAUUAGCUCCAUCACCUAAUUCUUCACUUCCUUUUCUACUUACUUUUUCUCUAUAUCUAUAUAUAUAUAUAUAUAUUACAAAAAUAACUAUUCAUUCUCUCCAUUUUAUGGUUAUAAUUUAAUACCUGCAUGAAGAAUUUUCUCCUUUCAUGUGACUUUAGUCUUUGACUAGUCAGUUAUUUCUUGCAUUGGACUAACAAUGAAAAAUCCUUUUCCAAUUAUAGAAUGAGGAGAAUGAAGAAACCAUCAAUGCCCAAAUUGUGACAGACGCAGUUUUGGAAGCUAUUAAGAACUGGAGGGAAAGCAACGAGCAAGGCUAAUUAAUCAAUCAAUUAAAGUAGCUAUUAAUUACUAUCUCUCUUUCAUUUUUUCUGAUCUUUAAGUUUAACUUUUCCCUAAACUUCUUUGCUAUAAUAGUUAUAUAAUCAGGAAUUAUGGCUAGUCCAUUAAUUCAACAAUAUUAUUGAUGAUCAAAGAUCAUUCAUUUUGCCCAGUCAAAUGACUCUCAUCGACACUUGAGAGAUUUUAUUUUCAGGUAACUUGUAACAAUCUGGAAAAAAAAGAAAAAAACUGUACUUUAUUUAUUCUGUACAAUCUAAAGUUUAGCAGAAAAUUUGCGUCUUUGCGAAUAAGUUGAUUAAUUUUAGCCCUACAAUAUUUAUCUUGUCAAAUAGUACUUCCUAUAUAUGUCAGUUUAUUCAAAUUUAGUCUCCUGGAAAGUGGGAAAGGUAUAGGCCUUCUACUUAUGGGUAUCUAAGACGAGAAGUCAAAGUGUUUCAUUAUUCCAUAAUUAAUUAAAUUGCCUAAAUGGGUGCAUAAUUAAGCAGCAAAUUAAAAAAAAUUCUUUUAUUGGUUUUAAAUUUAUUACUUGGUAUAGGUGCUAGAUAUAUAAAUAUAUAUAUCUUUGUCUGAGGUACAUUAGAAAAUAAUUUGAAGUGUGUGAUUCAUGUAUGUGAUUAAGACACCUCCUGGUGUUUCUGUUUGUUAUAUACAAUAAUUUAAGAUUCUGAUAAGUGAAAACAGAUGUAUAAAUAAUAAAGGCCAUCAUAAAAACUGGCCAUUUUACCAACUUCUGACCUGACAACAUUUGUUUGAGAAACUCAAAAUCUUCAUUUUGUAAAGUACAGUUGGGCCAUUCUUGCCAGCCUAGUACCUGUGAUAAAUGCCAAAAGAUAAUCUUACAUCCUGAAAAUGGAACCCUAAGCAAAAAUAAAAUAAAAAAAUUUUAAAGGGGAAAUUCCUCUUUUUAGUGCAUCAUUUAUUAACGGCUAGCGCUUUUAAAUUUUCUCAUCGUGAUACUCGGCUAUUAAACUUUUAAUUAGUAGACCGAACAUAAUAAUGUAGAGUAAUAGAUUAUGAACUUAAUUACCACGUGUUAUAGAAGUCCAGGACUGCUAUAGUAUGCAACUCCAAAUUAAGGGUAACAUAUUUAUAUAGGUUGACUAAUUUUCCUAAAGUUUUAUCAUCUUUUUGCCUAAUAGAAGAGUGCCUAAUUGUAUAUAGUACAGUUGGCACACAAUUAAUGCAUGGCUGAGCAGCUCAAGCCUAUAAGUGAAAGUUAAAUGUGUUUAGUCACAUAUCAAAAACCAAAAAUGAAAUUUGCCAAAAAUUGAGUGGCCAAAGUGCUAGACAUGUGUCAUUAUCAAGGUUAAAGCAUAUCAAAAUUGUUUUUUUUUCCUUUAAAAUGCUUGGAAUUGUCAUGAUCAAGGUUAAGGUGUACUAGAUAUGAUAUGGCUGUACGUAGUUUAAGCUCUGGAGUUAUGUAUAAGCUUUAUCUUAAAUCCAAUUUGAUCACACAAGUGCGCAUAAAUUAGUCGCUAAGCACGAAUUAGCCUACAAUUAUUAAUUUGGAUCCUCAAGAUAUCUUUCUCUGCAGAAACUAAGAUUAGUAUAGGAAACUUCAGUGUAGUAAAAUUACUUCAAGAUUGAAAAGGGACUAAAUGUAAUGGUGUAUUGUGGGCCGGGCCCUGACCUAAAUGGGUCUAAUGGGCCGGGCCUAAUAGGUCUGGGCUUUAGUGAGUUGGGCUCUAGCGGUUCCUGGCCAAACGGUCUUAAAGAAUGGGACCGGCUCGCUAUAGGCCUAAGCCCACAUGAUCCUGGGCUAAAUGGGUCGAGCCCACGAGCCUAAAUGGGUCUAAGUGGUCCAGACUAUUUUUUAAAAAUUAUUUUUAUCUAAUAAAUAUUCAAGGGAAUGUCUUAUAAUUUUUGUUAUUAUGACAUUAACAAAAAAUGGCAAUAUCUUUCUUAGUCUUCCUCCCCCCAAUGGAAACUAUACCACCAUUAGAGAAAAAAACUAAAGAAACUAUACCAAAAUACAAGUUAUAUAUUUGACCCGGUUGAACUAGAUUUGACCCGGUACUAGGGUUAACCUCAGUACCUACACUUGGUUCCUUUUGCUGCACUUUCAUUUGAAGAUAUUUAGCUUUAUCUCUAGGGUUUAUCUUUAUGUGUCAAGUCAAACUACCCGUACCGCUACGGUCUCCAGUAUAUUUAUGGGCCAUCAAAGCCCCACACGUUUUACACUUAGCCUUAUUUUGUUCUCUUAGUUGAGCAAAAAAUUACCAAACAAGAGAUGUUUCGAUCUGUUUAGAAGGUUAUCUAUUAAAAGUAGGGGUUACUACAGGAAGGUCAGAUGGGGCAUCAUUUAGAAUAUUAUCAGUUGGAUUAACAAUAGGACUAUUAAGUGUAUCAUCUAAAUCCAGUUCUGUUUCACCUAAAUCAUCAUUUUUUUCAUCAAUUUCAUCAAUAGUUGCAUUAGGAUACAUAGCAUUCAUAUAUUCAUUAUUUAAUUAUUGAUCUGGUGCAACAUCAUGGACAAAUUGACUGUUGGUAAAUUAAAAAUAUGGGUUAUUACUAUCAAGAAUAACAGGUGGAGGAGGACGGGUAACAGGUCUGGGUCAGGGAGCCAGGGGAAGAGUAGUAGCUUGGAGACUAGAAUCAUCAAUUUUAGAUUUUCUCUUACCACUAAAUAUUUUUUUCAAAAAAAAAAAUACCAUAUUAAUUAUAACUAUACAAACUUAAACAAAUAAAAUUAUAAUAUUAGAUCUUAAGAGUUGGAACGAGUUUACCGAAUUAACGAACAACUUCUUAAAAAUUGAAUAUCGUCGAAGACGUGAAGACUUGAAUACUUCAACCAACUUCACAAUUUUUCACAAAAUUGCAAUAAUAAAGUAAGCAAUUACAGAAGAAAUUAGAGAGAAAUUGAUGAAUUUAUGAGUAAAAAAAAAAAAAAAAGGGGGGUAUUUAUAGUUUAAAAUAAGGAAAAAAGUGUAAUUAUAAAAAGUUUGGGGUUAAAAUAAAGAUUAGGGGCUAAAUGAUUAUUUUUUAAAAAGCCAAACGACUGAAAUUGCAGGCCACCGACUAGUUUUUAAAUUUCUAACCGUUAGCCUUUUUUAAUUUUUUUUUGAAAAUUAUCGUUGGGCCCGUUUGGCCUAUUAGGCCCGGUUGAACCGGUCCAGACCCGCCUGUCGGUCCUGGGCUAAACGGUCUCGGGCUCACGAUCUAUUUGGGGAGGACCGGCCCACAGUGAGCCUUAAAGACCAUUUGAGACUGGCCCGUUUGAACCGGCCCAUUAGACUCGUGGUCUCGCAGGCCCGGGGCGGUCCCGAGCUGCGCCCAGCCCACAAUACACCCUUAACUAAAUAUUUCAUAGCAUAUUAGUUUGAUUGAUACGGUUAUAAGUGCAUCCUUACAUUUUUUCUUUCUUUUUCCAUUUAACUAUUCAGUUUCCGAAGUUUCACCACCUCGAUUGAUUAUAUAUGAUUUGCAUCAAGUAGGGCCACUAUGCGGGAAGUGUAUCCCUACUUAAUUGUAAAAAGGAGACUAGGGGUCGUUUGAUUGGAAAGAAGGUAUCCCAGGACUAAUUAUUCUGUGAUUAGUUACUGGGAGAUUAGUUAUUUUAUCUUUUUAAGGGGAUAAAAAAUAUUACAAUCCCGGAAUUAAUUAUACCGCACUUUUCUACCAACUAAGCAUGGGAUAAACACUUUUUAAAAUUUAGUUCCGGCAUUAAUUAUUCCUUAUCCCACGUACCAAUAACGAGCCCUAAAGAAUUUCGUCCCGUUUAUUUUCGGGUGUAUCUUACCCACGGGUUUAAAAUAUCUCGCAGAUCGACUUGGGUUAUAAUUGUUAUUCUGGCUGUAUCAAGUGCAUCUUUUGGUAUAAUUGAUUAUUCCUUGCCUUGGGACCAAAUUGGUUAUUGGGCGUUAAAAGAAAAUAAAAGAAUGAGAAACGAGGAGGAGGACUAAAAUUUGUGGGACAAAUGGGAGAGAGGGCAAGAAGAAAGGAGAACGAUACAUGAUGAAAGUAUGGAAGGAGAGCGAUGGUAGCCCUUUUAUCAUUCACUUCCUUCUCAUUCAAACAUGACACACUGAAUUAGCUCCAUCACCUAAUUCUUCACUUCCUUUUCUACUUACUUUUUCGCUUUUAUACAUUUCAUUCAAACAAAACUAAGAUCUAAAGAAAUGAAAAUUUGAGUUUCAAUUUGAUGGUCCCGCCCGGACAAUAUCAGCUUGGAAUCUUGUUACACUCUUCACAUUACCACAUUACAUAUAUGUAUAUACACGUUUAUCGCUUAAUCAUUGUUAGUGGUGAAGCAAGAAAUUUUAUUUAUGGUGUUCAAACUUGAAAUAAGUAAAGGAAAUCCUCAGUAAAGAGUAUUCAAUAUAUGUUAUAUAACAUUAAAAGCUAAUAUUAUACCUAUAUAUACAUUAUAAUGUUUGGACGAAGGGUGAUCAGUUGACCACCCUUAAGGGCUAUGUACCUUCGUCUCUGAUCGAGGUUAAUAAAUUAAGUAUGCAUUUCGUUUUUAUUUAUCACAUCUUCAUGAUAAUUCAAUGUAGUUUUACCAAGCGCAACAUUUUUUAAUAUUACACAAAGUACUUUAGGAUCUUAUAUUAGAACACUAACGAGUACUUAGGUACGUCAACGAAUCCACUAUAUUGAAAAACUUAAGAAUUAACUUAAGUGAUUGUUCAUUCAAUCACUUAAAUUAAAAAUAAUUUAUAAAUAUAUAAUAUAUAUAUAUACAAAACAUAUAUAAUAUAUAUAUAAUCGUGUAUAAUCAAUAUAAAUAUAAUCUAUAUAUACUAAUUAGAAGAAGUAAUAAUGAACCCAACGGGUUAUUUGCGUAAAGUUCUCGUGAAACUUGGUGUUGUAAGUUCCUACACCACAAGGAAUUUGGGCCUGAGCAACAAAGUUCAGGGCCUAUGAUAUGGCUUGAGGCCCGAUAUCGCAGAACAAUACAUCUAAGCCCAUCGUGCACAUAAUAUGUCGGGCCGAAGUCUAAAAUAAGGAGAAAUUAUAAAGAAAAUAUGGCAUGAAAACACGUAAAGAAAAUUGGUAAUGUUUUCGCUUUAUAUUAAAUUUGGCAAAAGUAACCUAAAAAAAUUGACAGCAUAUAGCCAAAUUCUAAAUAACCCUAGUUUCUUACUUAUUCGCACUCUCCC
rnacentral:lncRNA from 1 species